ACGGGUUGUGAGAGCAAGAGCCCGGAGAUGGAACCUGAGACAAGGUUCCAGGCCCUACGGGGUGCAGCAGGCGCGAAACCUCCGCAAUGUGAGAAAUCGCGACGGGGGGAUCCCAAGUGCCAUUCUUAACGGGAUGGCUUUUCAUUAGUGUAAAAAGCUUUUGGAAUAAGAGCUGGGCAAGACCGGUGCCAGCCGCCGCGGUAACACCGGCAGCUCUAGUGGUAGCAAUUUUUAUUGGGCCUAAAGCGUCCGUAGCCGGUUUAAUAAGUCUCUGGUGAAAUCCUGCAGCUUAACUGUGGGAAUUGCUGGAGAUACUAUUAGACUUGAGACCGGGAGAGGUUAGAGGUACUCCCAGGGUAGAGGUGAAAUUCUGUAAUCCUGGGAGGACCGCCUGUUGCGAAGGCGUCUAACUGGAACGGUUCUGACGGUGAGGGACGAAAGUUAGGGGCGCGAACCGGAUUAGAUACCCGGGUAGUCCUAACUGUAAACGAUGCGGACUUGGUGUUGGGGUGGCUUUGAGCUGCUCCAGUGCCGAAGGGAAGCUGUUAAGUCCGCCGCCUGGGAAGUACGGUCGCAAGACUGAAACUUAA
rnacentral:rRNA from 1 species